UGCAGAGGAUGCAAGCGUUAUCCGGAAUGAUUGGGCGUAAAGCGUCUGUAGGUGGCUUUUUAAGUCCGCCGUCAAAUCCCAGGGCUCAACUCUGGACAGGCGGUGGAAACUACCAAGCUGGAGUACGGUAGGGGCAGAGGGAAUUUCCGGUGGAGCGGUGAAAUGCGUAGAGAUCGGUAGGAACACCAAUGGCGAAGGCAGCUUGCUGGGCCUUAUCUGACGCUGAGACACGAAAGCGUGGGGAGCGAACAGG
rnacentral:rRNA from 1 species